UACGUAGGGGGCGAGCGUUGUCCGGAUUUAUUGGGCGUAAAGAGCGUGUAGGCGGCCAGGUAGGUCUGCUGUGAAACUCGAGGCUCAACCUCGAGACGUCGGCGGAAACCAUCUGGCUAGAGUCCGGAAGAGGAGAGUGGAAUUCCGUGGUGUAGCGGUGAAAUGCGCAGAUAUCAGGAAGAACACCCGUGGCGAAGGCGGCUCUCUGGGACGGUACUGACGCUGAGACGCGAAAGCGUGGGAGCGAACAGG
rnacentral:rRNA from 1 species